rnacentral:rRNA from 1 species
GACGAACGCUGGCGGCGUGCCUAACACAUGCAAGUCGAACGGGGUCCAUGGGAGCUUGCUCCCGGAAGACCUAGUGGCGAACGGGUGAGUAACACGUGAGAAACCUGCCCUGGAGUGGGGAAUAACUCGGGGAAACUCGAGCUAAAUACCGCAUACCCUCCGGAUGGUCGCAUGGCCGACCGAGGAAAGAUUCAUCGCUUCAGGAGGGUCUCGCGGCCUAUCAGCUAGUUGGUGGGGUAACGGGCCUACCAAGGCAACGACGGGUAGCUGGUUUGAGAGAACGAUCAGCCACACUGGGACUGAGACACGGCCCAGACUCCUACGGGAGGCAGCAGUGGGGAAUCUUGCGCAAUGGGCGAAAGCCUGACGCAGCAACGCCGCGUGCGGGAUGACGGCC